rnacentral:rRNA from 1 species
GAUGAACGCUAGCUACAGGCUUAACACAUGCAAGUCGAGGGACCGGCGUACGGGUGGGUAACGCGUAUCCAACUUUCCCAUUACUGUGGGAUAACUUGCCGAAAGGCAGACUAAUACCGCCUAGUAAUGGUUGGGGAUGCGGUUGAUUAGCUUGUUGGCAGGGUAACAGCCAACCAAUGCGGCGAUAAGUAGGGGUUCUGAGAGUAAGUUCCCCCAGAUUGGAGCUGGGACACGGUCCAAACUCCUACGGAAGACAGCGGUGAGGAAUAUUAGUCAAGGGACGUAGAUCUGAACCAGCCAAGUGGCGUGAAGAGUGACGGCCUCGGGGUUGUAAGCUGCUUUUGUAUGGGUAGAGGUACCAUAUGAAUAAGUACCGGCUAAUUCCGUGCCAGCAGCCGCGGUAAUAC